rnacentral:lncRNA from 1 species
ACAUAAAUGCCAUUAAAUUGAAUAUGGCCUCCCAAACCAUCUACCCAUUCAAACCUUAUCUUCUCCUCAUCAAACUAGACAUGAAAAUUGGGUUAUAACCUAGACACCUUAGAGGUUAUAAUUGCUAGAAGACACGAGCCAUCCACUAGAUUCUUGCUAGUUUUGGUUAGACAAGGGCGGUGUGAAGUGUGCCUUCGUGAGCCAUCCAUGGCUAUUUUCUUCUCGUUCUAUUCACCUAUCCCCAGAACUCAAUAAAUGAAAACCAUCUAGAAAUCCCAUAUAAGAUACAAGAUCAACAAGCAAAUGCUAUAGAAAUUUAACAUCCCUCGAGAAAAUCUGACAAAGAAGAAGAAGCUCAAGAAACACAUAACAGAUUGCAAAAACUGGAGAUGGAUAUUGCAGGGUUCAAGAAUUUGAGUUGUGAUGCUGUUGAACGGUGCUAUUGGCUGGAAAUGAAGAGUUGAGCAUUGAAAACUAGCAUGGAGUUUGGUGCAGUUGUCCUUUCAGGCCAUCCACCAGACUCUUUGAAGAAGGGCUUUGAUUCUAGAAACACCAACAACAGUUCCAUUGAAACCAAAGAAAUUCAUAAGUGCUGAAUUUCGAAGUCCCAAAUUUAGAAAUUUAGUUUUGGUAAAAACUGAAAUCCCAAUUCACCAAAAUACCAAUUGAAUCUCAAAGUCCCAAACUUUCCAACAAAUUUCAACAGAAUUGGGAGAAAAAGUCAAAUCCCAUCUUAAUUAUGAUCACAGAUACAAAAAGGGAUGGGCCAGAAGAAUAGAUAGAAACCCUAAAAUGAGAAACCUUUUAACCCAGAAAAAACUGGAAAAAAA